GGCUUUGUAGCUCAGUGGUUAGAGCGCUGCUCUUGUAAACCAGGCAUUGCAAGUUCAAUUCUUGCUUGGGCCC
rnacentral:tRNA from 1 species